rnacentral:lncRNA from 1 species
CAUCCGCCUAUGCCCUAGGGCUAGUGGAAGACUUAAGAUGGCGGCGUUUGCACGGAGUGCAAUCACUGCGUCCUUACGGGGGUUGCAAGGCGUCCGAAGUAUGAGUCCACUAACAAAAGUCCAGAAACUCGCCAGUUAAUAGUAUUGUGUCUCUUCAAAAUAUCGGAGAAUAAUUUCUUUCUCGCUGAUCGCCUAACUUCUACUGACGAAGCUUGGAAGUUGCAGAAGAUGGAGUUCGCUCUUGUUGCCCAGGCUGGAAUGCAAUGGCAUGACCUUGGCUCACUGCAACCUCUGCCUCCCCAGUUCAAGUGGUUCUCCUGCCUCAGCCUCCCGAGUAGCUGAGAUUACAGUUUCUUCAAAGGAAAGAAGCAACUGGAACACACAUAUAACACUAACCCUUCCAGCUGCAUUAUGAGGGACCAGUACCUGUCUCAAGGCAAAAUUAUGACUUAGUUCAUCCUCACCUCUGGAGGCCAGUAAAAGUGGGUUAUAGAAGAACAAAGAGGCAUCUAGAUCUUUCACUGGGUUAUUUGGAGAGAAACAUCUCCUACCGAAGGCCAGUUUAACAAGACUGGUAGAGGAGGUUAUCUUAUCUAAUUCACAGAAAUCAACACAUUGAGUCAAGAAAAAUGAAACACAGAAACACUCUAAAUAAAAGAAGAUAAGUCUUCAGAAACCAACCCUAAUGAAAUGAAGAUAUGUGAUUAACCUGACAGGAAAUUAAAAAGAGCAACCAUAAAGAGUCUCAUGGGAGCAAUGCAUGAACAAACUGAGAAUUUUCAUAAAGAAAUAAAAGAUAACAAAAAGUAUAAAGUUGAAGAAUACAAUAACUGGACUCAAAAAUUUAAUGUGUCCAACAGAAGAAUCGAUGAAGCAGAAGAAAGGGCUAUCAAACUUGUAGAUAGGCCAUUGGAAAUCAUGUAAUGUGAGGAGAAAAAAGAAAAAAGAUUGAAGAUAGUUUAAGAGACUUUUGAGACAUCCUCAAAGGGGAAUAAUUUAUACAUUACCAGAUGGAGAAGAUAGAGGGAAAAGGACAGAAAACAUAUUUGAAGAAAUAAUGUCAGAAAACCUCAUAAUUCUGGCAAGGAAAUAGAAAUUUAGAUCUAAGAAUCUCGAACAUCAGGUAUGAUGAAUCCAAGGAGACUCACACCAAACCAUAUUGUAAUUAAAUAAAGGUUAAAGACAAUCUUCAGAGCAGCAAGGGAAUAGUCUCUUCUUACAUACAAAAUGAUCCACGGAAGACUGUCAGCAGACUUCACCAGAAAACUUUCACGCCAGAAGGCAGUCGUGAUAUAUACAAAAAGCUGAAAGGAAAACACUGCCAUCCAGGAAUACUAUCUCCAACUAUCCUGUGUUUCAAAAAUUAAGGAGAAAUAUAAAGUUCUCAAACAAAAGAUGUGGGAGUUUACCACCACUAGACCUGCACGGGAAGAAUUGCUAAAGGGAGUCCUUCAAGCUGUAGUAAAAGAGUGCUAAUUAGAAACAUGAAAAC